rnacentral:lncRNA from 1 species
UCGAAGCUCACAUAGAAAUAAUUAUACGUUGCACUAGUCAUCCCAUUAUGUCCCAUUAGGUCAAAGAAAAUAAUAUGGUUGUAGAAAUAUUAUAGCUGUUUGUACCGAAGGUUCAUCCCUCUCUUCAUGCUCCCUUGAAUCAUUUAGGGAUUUCAAAUGGAGAGAAUUCUGACCCUUUGGUUUUCUCAUAGAGAAAUGCACUAAACAAAUCCAAUUUUCUAGAAAAUAACAGAAAAACUGAAAUAUUAUGUUGAUGAGUCUGCAUUGUAAUAAAAAACAACAGAGAACUAAAAGAUGUAUAUCAUAUUCAUCUAUGGUGGUUGAUGAGUUGGACUUUCCGUAGGUUCCUUAACAAUUGUACAAUUAAUAAUCAUCACCUUUAUCAAAUAAAAGGCACUACGUAGUUACGAAAGAAGCAUGCAUACAAAAGAAACUAUUGGCUGUAAAGCAUGAGACAAGGAAUGAGACAACUACUACAAACUUGAUAGAAUGCUACUACACAUGCUUGGAUCUACAAUGAUCUACAUUUGUACGGAGAUCAUGCCAUGUUCUGCAAAAUAGGCAAUAGAAGAACUAAUCAUCGAUAUAGAGAACGGCUAGCAUAAUAAUCCACUUGUUACAAACAUAUAUAUUAAAUUUUGUCAUGCUGUUGGUACGAAAUAUGCAUGAUGCCCUCGUAAUUAAAGCCUGAUAACAAAUGUAGUUAAAUAUUUUGUUGUCAGACCUAUGGGGUUGUAUCUAAAAAAUAUUUUGCUCAACAACUGAAGAUGCCUUAACCACAAUGUAGGAAGUUCACAAAUCUGGCUUGGUUUUUAGUUCUCAUAGUCACUGACUUCAGGGAAAAAUAGACGUGAGAGUGUGCAUAUGUAUAAAGAAUUAAAGAUAGAUGAGACCCAUUUUGCAGUUUCUGAACGUGUUUCUCCUUUCUCAUUGAAAGAAGACCAGAAGUAAACCACACCACCAACCUAUAGAUGAAAUUCUCUGAAAGCUUUCAUACCCGUCGCACUGGAGAUAGAAGGGAUACUGAAUUGCAUAUAGCAUUAUAGCUUCAAAAAACAUUGCUUGUAAAUAAAUAUAGAUGAGAAUGAUAUUGCAACUUCUGGUUCGAAUGUGCAUUGCUACCUCUUGAGCAUUGCGUUGGUUUUCCCUCGAAGAGGAAAGGGUGAUGCAGUAAAGUAGCGUAAGUAUUUCCCUCAGUUUUUGAGAGCCAAGGUGUCAACACAGUAGGAGAUCUUGCUCAAGUCCCACGCACCUACACAAACAAAUAAGAACCUCGUAACCAACGCGAUAAAGGGGUUGUCAAUCCCUUCACGGUCACUUACGAGAGUGAGAUUUGAUAGAUAUGAUAAGAUAAUAUUUUUGGUGUUUUUAUGAUAAAUAUAAAUAAAGAUGCAAAGUAAAAUAAAUUACAAUGGAAUUAACUAAGUAUUGGAAGAUUAAUAUGAUAGAAGAUAGACCCGGGGGCUAUAGGUUUCACUAGUGGCUUCUCUCAAGAGCAUAAGUAUUACCAUGGGUAAACGAAUUACUGUCGAGCAAUUGAUAGAAUUGAGCAUAGUUAUGAGAAUAUCUAGGUAUGAGCAUGUAUAUAGGCAUCACGUCCGAGACAAGUAGACCGAAACGAUUCUGCAUCUACUACUAUUACUCCACACAUCGACCGCUAUCCAGCAUGCAUCUAGAGUAUUAAGUUCAGAAGAACAGAGUAAUGCUUUAAGUAAGAUGACAUGACAUAGAGGGAUAAACUCAUGCAAUAUGAUAUAAACCCCAUCUUUUUAUCCUCGAUGGCAACAAUACAAUACGUGUUGAUUCCCUUUCUGUCACUGGGAUCGAGCACCGUAAGAUUGAACCCAAAGCUAAGCACUUCUCCCAUUGCAAGAAAGAUCAAUCUAGUAGGCCAAACAAAACUGAUAAUUCGAAGAGACUUGCAAAGAUAAACCAAUCAUACAUAAAAGAAUUCAGAUGAGAAUCAAAUAUUGUUCAUAGAUAAUCUGGAUCAUAAACCCACAAUUCAUCGAAUCUCGACAAACACACUGCAAAAGAAGAUUACAUCGAAUAGAUCUCCAAGAAGAUUGAGGAGAACUUUGUAUUGAGAUCCAAAGAGAGAGAAGAAGCCAUCUAGCUAAUAACUAUGGACCCGUAGGUCUGAAAUAAACUACUCACACAUCACCGGAGAGGCCAUCGAGUUGAUGUAGAGGCCCUCCGUGAUCGAUACCCCCUCCGGCGGAGCUCCGGAAAAGGCCCCAAGAUGGGAUCUCUCAAGUACAGAAGGUUGCGGUGGUAGAAUUAGGUUUUCGUGGUGCUCCUGGAUGUGGGGGGGGGGGUACGUAGAUAUAUAUAGGAGGAAGAAGUACGUCGGUGGAGCAACGGAGGGCCCACAAGGGUGGAGGGCGCGCCCAGGGGGGGUAGGCGCGCCCCCUGCCUUGUGCCUUCCUCCGUUGUUUCUUGACGCACACUCCAAGUCUCCUAGAUCACAUUCGUUGAGAAAAUCACGUUCCUGAAGGUUUCAUUCCGUUUGGACUCCGUUUGAUAUUCCUUUUCUUCGAAACCCUAAAAUAGGCAAAAAACUGCAAUUUGGGUUGGGCCUCCGAUUAGUAGGUUAGUCCAAAAAAUGAUAUAAAAGUGUAAAAUAAAGCCCAUUAACAUCCAAAAUAGAUAAUAUAAUAGCAUGGAGCAAUCAAAAAUUAUAGAUACGUUGAAGACGUAUAAAUCAUCCCCAAGCUUAAUUCCUGCUCGUCCUCGAGUAGGUAAAUGAUAAAAGAAAGAAUUUUUGAUGUGGAAUGCUUUCUAACAUAUUUCUCAAUGUAAUUUUUCUUUAAUGUGGCAUGAAUGUUCAGAUCCAUAAGAUUCAAGACAAAAGUUUAAUAUUGACAUAAAAAUAAUAGUACUUCAAGCAUACUAACUAAGCAAUUAUGUCUUCUCAAAAUAACAUGGACAAAGAAAGUUAUCCCUACAAAAUCAUAUAGUCUGGCUAUGCUCUAUAUUCACCACACAAAAUAUUUAAAUCAUGCACAACCCCGAUGACAAGCCAAGCAAUUGUUUCAUACUAUUGAUGUUCUCAAACUUUUUCAAUCUUCACGCAAUAUAUGAGCAUGAGCCAUGGAUAUAGCACUAUAUGGUGGAAUAGAAUGGUGGUUGUGGAGAAGACAAAAAAGGAGAAUAUAGUCUCACAUCAACUAGGCAUAUCAAUGGGCUAUGGAGAUGCCCAUCAAUAGAUAUCGAUGUGAGUGAGUAGGGAUUGCCAUGCAACGGAUGCACUAGAGCUAUAAGUAUAUGAAAGCUCAACAAAAGAAACUAAGUGUGUGUGCAUCCAACUUGCUUGCUCAUGAAGAUCUAGGGCAAUUUGAGGAAGCUCAUCAUUGGAAUAUACAAGCCAAGUUCUAUAAUGAAAAAUUCCCACUAGUAUAUGAAAGUGAUAUCAUAGGAGACUCUCUAUCAUGAAGAUCAUGGUGCUACUUUGAAGCACAAGUGUGGAAAAAGAAUAGUAACAUUGUCCCUUCUCUCUUUUUCUCUCAUUCUUUUCUUUUUUUUCUUUGGGCCUUCUUUAUUUUUUUCUCUUUGGCCACUUUUCUCUCUUUUUUAAAAUUUUCGUCCAGAGUCUCAUCUAGACUUGUGGGGGAAUCAAAGUCUCCAUCAUCCUUUCCUCACUGGGACAAUGCUCUAAUGAUGAUGAUCAUCACACUUUAUUUACAUACAACUCAAAACUCACAUCUCGAUACUUAGAACAAGAUAUGACUCUAUGUGAAUGCCUCCGGCGGUUUAUCGGGAUGUGCAAUGAUGCAUGAGUGACAUGUAUGAAAAUUAUGAACGGUGGCUUUGGCACAAAUACAAUGUCAACUACAUGAUCAUGCAAGCAAUAUGACAAUGAUGAAGCGUGUCAUAAUAACGGAAUGAUGGAAAGUUGCAUGGCAAUAUAUCUCGGAAUGGCUAUUGAAAUGCCAUAAUAGGUAGGUAUGGUGGCUGUUUUGAGGAAGGUAUAUGGUGGGUUUAUGGUACCGGUGAAACUUGCGCGAUACUAGAGAGGCUAGCAAUGGUGGAAGGGUGAGAGUGCGUAUAAUCCAUGGACUCAACAUUAGUCAUAAAGAACUCACAUACUUAUUGCAAAAAUCUACAAGUUAUCAAAGCAAAGUAUUAUGCGCAUGCUCCUAGGGGGAUAGAUUGGUAGGAAAAGACCAUCGCUCAUCCCCGACCGCCACUCAUAAGGAAGACAAUCAAUAAACAAAAUCAUGCUCCGAAUUCAUCACAUAAUGGUUCACCAUACGUGCAUGCUACGGGAAUCACAAAUUUUAACACAAGUAUUUCUCAAAUUCACAACUACUCAACUAGCAUGACUCUAAUAUCACCAUCUCCAUAUCUCAAAACAAUUAUCAAGUAUCAAACUUCUCAUAGUAUUUAAUGCACUUGUAUGAAAGUUUUUAUUAUUGCCAUGUUGUUCUAAAGGACUCUCAAAUAAUAUAAGUGAAGCAUGAGAGAACAAUUAUUUCUAUAAAAUAAAACCACCACCGUUCUCUAAAAGAUAUAAGUGAAGAACUACAGCAAAAACUAUAUAGCUCAGAAGAUAUAAGUGAAGCACUAGAGGAAAAAUUAUAUAGCUCAAAAGAUAUAAGUGAAGCACAUAGAGUAUUCUAAUAGGCGGAAGAGGCCCCGAGAUGGGAUCUCACGGGUACAGAAGGUUGCGGCGGUGGAAAAGUGGUUUCCUGGCUCUCUGCGAUUUUUCUAGGGUAUAAGAGUAUAUAUAGGCGGAAGAAGUACGUCGGUGGAGCUACGAGGGGCUCACGAGAGUGGGGGUGUGCCUACCCCCCUAGGCACGCCCUCCUGCCUCAUGGCCGCCUCGCAGAGUUCCAGACUUCAACUCCAAGUCUUCUGGAAUGCUUUCGGUCCAAGAAAUAUCAUCGCGAAGGUUUCAUUCCGUUUGGAUUCCAUUUGGUAUUCCUUUUUCUGUGAAACUCUAAAAUAGGCAAAAAAAAAAGAAACUGGCAGUGGCCUCCGAUUAAUAGGUUAGUCCCAAAAUAUAUAUAAAAGAGCAUAUUAAAGCCCAUUAAACAUCCAAAAUAGAUAAUAUAAUAGCAUGGAACAAUCAAAAAUUAUAGAUACAUUGGAGACGUAUCAAGCGAUCCUGGACCUCGUCAUGAUCGGCCCGCUCGCGCUCCAGCCAGCUCGUGUGACCGCCUAUAGUAUCUCUCACUUUCUGCAACAACGUCGCCGACGGCUCAAGCAUGACUCUUUCCACUUUUGAAGCUCUGUGAACUCUCGCACAUAAAGGAGGGGCAUGGCACUUCUCUCCUCUUGAGCUCACGGGGCUCCACAUCCUUGGCCCUGAGAUCCGCAUCCUUGGCCUGGAGCUCCUCUGUCAGGCGACUCUCCUCAGACUCUGUGAUCUAGUGCGCCACCAUGGAACUAGGUAGAAGCAAUGGGGAGAGGAAGGAAAGGGGGCGAAACGACUGAAUGGCAAUGUAAUCUACGGGAAGGCGGAGAGAUCCAGCCGAGGAACGGGGUGAAUCUUUUGGUUUUCUCCAUGGGAAUACCCCAGUCGAUGACUUUUCACAUCAGGGGUCAGUGGGUUUUACAGGCGGAGUCAUCAUGAUUAAUUGCUGCCACGCGUGCUCUUGUCUAAAAAAUAAAAAUCCUGUCACGCCUGCCGCAACCGAAGACCAAAGCAACUCAGGGUAGAUAUUUAAAUUUACCUACCAGCAAUGAGAGAGAAAAAAGGUGGAAAAACAAAUGUGGCGGCGGCCUAGCUAAACGGUCACACUAGCCCAACUAGCUAGCCACCAUGCUUCACUAAUGUACUCGACGGGAAAGGUGGGCUUUUGUGAUUUGACAGCUCAUUUACUUGCUUCGGCGCUACGACCAAGGAGGACCCAAAAACCACGUUGUAGGGCGUCCUAUGUCUCAGCAAGGAAGAAAAUAUGCGUGGACCACCCUGGAGGACCCAGAAACCACGCGGUAGGGUGUGCCACGUCUUGGCACAGAGGAAAAAUAUGCAUGCAAAAAGUAUCAGAUGUACUACCUAUGGUUUGAACUCGAGACCCAACCAGUCGAUCGAAAACACUGCACAAGCCACACAGCUUCCUUAUGCUAACAUGGCACGGAGGAUAGGUGUGUUUAGCUCUGUCUUGACCAGCGACAACGUCUCUUGUUCUAGGCGAUUCAUUUAUUUUCCAAGAAUUUUUUUAGUUAUAAUAACAGCACUGCAAGCUCGCGCCGCUCUUCGUGUUUUCCCGUGCAUCUAAAGGUUGUACUAGAUGGAGAGGAGAGAGAGAUCACAGGCAUGGGACCCACCAGUAAGUGAGUCAACGUUCAUGCAUGUGUUGACGAGCCACUCCCUCUACUCCGCUCAACGUAAUACUGUAUAAAAUCAAGUUAUGCGACAAAGCCAACAACUGUUGCUGUUUCAGGCUAUCGGCGUACGCUUUGUAGACCAGGUUGUCACUUCAAAUCUCGUCUUUCUGAGUUGUUAGUUUUAGCUCCAAAUUUGAUUAAUGACAAGUGGGAACCCCGUGUGUUGUUCCAAUAUUUCAGUGUAGGAGGUUUUUUUGCGCAAACACUUUGCGCAGUUAGACAAGUUACGACACCAGUUACACAUAUUUUGCAAGUUUAGGAAUAAACUAGCAAAAAUGCCCAUCCGUUGCAAUGGGAGAACAAAACAUAUCAGAACCCAUCCCUCCUUGCCAAUAAAUGCUUGUCUCCGUCCUUUAUUUCAACACAUUACCCCACAUGUAUUGUUGCUUAUAUUCCUUCCUACCCUCAUCGACAGUUGCGGUGAUGUCCACCUUGCGUCAUAUUCUUAAUCCUGCUAAAUAUAAUUUGAUGCAAGAACAUGAGAGGUUAACUAUUGUGGGGGAAAUUCAGUAGUGGGUAUCCAAAAAUAAGUGACAUGCACAUUUGAAGUUCCCCAUGUGUUGCAACGGGAGAAGAAAACCUACCAUGUCCCAUCCAUUGUCGCCAAUACGCACUUGCAUCCAUCCUUUAUUUCAACACAAUACCCCACAUGCAUUGCAUCUUCUAUUCCUUUAUGCCCUCGUCAAUGGUGGUAGUGAUCUCCACCUUCCAUCACAUUCUAAAUACUACUAAAAAAAUCUAAUGCAAGAACAUAAAAGUUUAACUAUAGUGCGGGAAUUCAGUAAUGGGUAUCCAAAAAUAUGUGACAUGCACAUUUGAAGUUUCUUUGCUUGAUACAAUGAAAUCUUCUAUGGCAUGUGUAUAACAAAUUCUGACUUGUAGUCAUAUGUUUAUCCAAAAAUAUAUCCGAUAGCGUUGCCUUCUCCUUGAACACUAAAUACAGGCUUCCCAACAAUAAAUAAUGGAGGCAACAACUAAGAGAAUAAGAAGAAUCUAAGUGAAACCUUCCGCGUGUGCAUGAACUCUAACGAUAAAUAACUACAUGAUUGUUUACAUGUAUGAAAAUCAAUCAUCAAAGUAGAAAAACAAUGUGACUGUUCAAAAAAAUCUACUCCACGGACUAAAACACAUGUAGUCCUUGUUUGGAUGCGGGGCUAGCUAUUUCCAGGUAAAAUACGACCUGGGUAGGAUAUUCUUGGCAAAAUUAAAACCCUGUGGAGAAUCACCUGACCAUUUGGGAGAGAAGGGGAUGCUAGCGUCUUCUUUCCUAGCGAGAGCAGAGCUGGCCGCGAGGCUAACGGCAGCGCAGAACUUCGCGAGCGGCACAUAUAGGGAGAUUUUUUCCGAUGUGAUGAGGUGAGGGUUUCCUAUCCAGGGAAAUCAGGGUGGGUUGGGGAUGGAAAGGCCUCUCCCUCGCGACACCAAAUUGGCAUGUGUAAAGACCUGGGCGAAAUUAACUCGGGAUCUUCCCUCCUAGGGAAACGACGGGGAUCCCGGGGGGGAUCCCUUACUAAAAAACUAGGCCGUAGGGGGAAUUAUUGGUCUAUUAUACCUAGUAUUGUAAGAAUAAAUAAAUAAUCUUCUAAUAUUUUCUCACUACUCCUCACAAGUCAAUAAACUAACCGGUCAACAUGCUAUACAUCCCUUCACCCCUUGUACUAAUCUAAUAUAGAGAUAAAAAAUAGACCUCCGGCCCUUUCUAUUCUUUGUCUGCUUCAUCUACAUUGGGGAUCCAUAGACGAAUAUAUGUUGAAUAGAUGACAAAGCUCUAGCUGAAGCAAACCUCACAAACAUAAAUUAUGGAUGUUUGUGUGAAUUGUUUUUUAAUUAAUUUUCAUGUUGCCAAUUUCAAUCAAAUUCAAUGUUUUUUGAAUUCAGACCCUCCAAAUACCCGCUCGAUGCGCGAGCUAGGACUUUGGAAAGUUUAAUAAUUAAUCUCCAACUCCAUACAAACAUACCUGAAUGGUUAAAGAAUAAUUUAAAAAAUGCACACAUAUCAACCUCUUUAAGCACUCCAUUAAUAUUGUCGUUAAUUUUUUCAACAUAUUUAUAUUUCCAAAUGGGUUUUCAAUUUAUAUCUUCUUAUGGCGAUGCUUGAUAACACUUAUCUGUUUGUGGACGAAUUGGCUUGACCAAGUGAUGCUAGAUUGGUAGUUGGAUGGAACAAACACAUAAAUAUGUACUCAUCAAUUGUUUUCAAUUUAUAUCUUGUCAUGGUGAUGGUUGAUAAUACUUACUUUUUUCUGGUCGAAUUAGUUUGACUAGUUGAUGAAAUAUAGGUAGUUGGAUGGAAUAUACACAUAAGAAAAUAUGUACUCAUCAUUUUAGUGAAACACUAAGUUUUCUGUAGCUUUUGUAGGUGGAGGUGUGUGUUAAGUUCUCCAAGAAGAUUAUCCACCAUCAAUGGCCAUGAAAAAUUAAAUGCUUGGGAGGAGAGUAGCCAAUUGUACUAGGGUUAAUUUGAUAAAUGCCACUCCAAAUCCGGUGAUUCCGAGAAAUUCCACUGCAAUUUCCAAACUUUGGAAAUGCCAUUUCCAGUGGCAUUUUUCGAAGUUUGGAGUGACGUUUUUAAAGUUUGCAAACAUUGAAGUGACAUUUUUCAAAGUUUGGAAAUUGCGGUGGCAUUUUUAUGAAUCGCCAUCACUGAAGUGACAUUUAUCUAAUUAACCCAUUAUAUUAUCAUUUGAAUCCACACAAAUAGACUGAACAAACAUGAUGAAAAGAUGUAAGAUAAUCCCCGACAAGAUUAUAAGGUAUGGGUUGCAUUGCAUAGUGAUCCCCUUAGUAGUUGGAGUUUAGUGUGGCCCGUCCAUGUGCACACCCCGCGUUACCUCGCCUCACAUGUUCUUGGCCCUCUAAAAUGCGACGGCAUGGUCCUUAUUGUGUCGAAGCUCACACAGAAAUAAUUAUACGUUGCACUAGUCAUCCCAUUAUGUCCCAUUAGGUCAAAGAAAAUAAUAUGGUUGUAGAAAUAUUAUAGAUGUUUGUACCAAAGGUUCAUCCCUCUCUUCAUGCUCCCUUGAAUCAUUUAGGGCUUUCAAAUGGAGAGAAUUCUGACCCUUUGAUUUUCUCAUAGAGAAAUGCACUAAACAAAUCCGAUUUUCUAGAAAAAACAGAAAAAC